GACCACUCCGGUGGCCUGGUGGUUAGAGCUUCCGCCUCAGAUGCGGGAGAUCGUAGGUUCGAACCAAGGCCGAGUCA